rnacentral:rRNA from 1 species
CAUGUAAAUUAAACGCGAGUCCGGUAGUAGCGGCGAGCGAACCUGGAUUAGCCCUUAAGCACUCGGUGAAGUAGGUGAACAAGCUGGAAAGCUUGGCGAUACAGGGUGAUAGCCCCGUAACCGACGCUUCAUCGAGCGUGAAAUCGAGUAGGGCGGGACACGUGAUAUCCUGUCUGAAUAUGGGGGGACCAUCCUCCAAGGCUAAAUACUCCUGACUGACCGAUAGUGAACCAGUACCGUGAGGGAAAGGCGAAAAGAACCCCUGUGAGGGGAGUGAAAUAGAACCUGAAACCGUGUACGUACAAGCAGUAGGAGCACCUUCGUGGUGUGACUGCGUACCUUUUGUAUAAUGGGUCAGCGACUUAUAUUCAGUGGCAAGGUUAACCGUAUAGGGGAGCCGUAGCGAAAGCGAGUCUUAACUGGGCGCUCAGUCUCUGGAUAUAGACCCGAAACCGGGUGAUCUAGCCAUGGGCAGGUUGAAGGUUGAGUAACAUCAACUGGAGGACCGAACCGACUAAUGUUGAAAAAUUAGCGGAUGACUUGUGGCUAGGGGUGAAAGGCCAAUCAAACUCGGAGAUAGCUGGUUCUCCCCGAAAGCUAUUUAGGUAGCGCCUCGGACGAAUACUACUGGGGGUAGAGCACUGUUAAGGCUAGGGGGUCAUCCCGACUUACCAACCCUUUGCAAACUCCGAAUACCAGUAAGUACUAUCCGGGAGACACACGGCGGGUGCUAACGUCCGUCGUGGAGAGGGAAACAACCCAGACCGCCAGCUAAGGUCCCAAAGUAUUGCUAAGUGGGAAACGAUGUGGGAAGGCUCAGACAGCUAGGAUGUUGGCUUAGAAGCAGCCAUCAUUUAAAGAAAGCGUAAUAGCUCACUAGUCGAGUCGGCCUGCGCGGAAGAUGUAACGGGGCUAAGCAAUACACCGAAGCUGCGGCAAUGUCUUUUAGAUAUUGGGUAGGGGAGCGUUCUGUAAGCCGUUGAAGGUGAAUCGUAAGGUUUGCUGGAGGUAUCAGAAGUGCGAAUGCUGACAUGAGUAACGACAAAGGGGGUGAAAAACCUCCUCGCCGGAAGACCAAGGGUUCCUGUCCAACGUUAAUCGGGGCAGGGUGAGUCGACCCCUAAGGUGAGGCCGAAAGGCGUAAUCGAUGGGAAACGGGUUAAUAUUCCCGUACUUCUGACUAUUGCGAUGGGGGGACGGAGAAGGCUAGGUGGGCCAGGCGACGGUUGUCCUGGUUCAAGUGCGUAGGCUUGAGAGUUAGGUAAAUCCGGCUCUCUCUAAGGCUGAGACACGACGUCGAGCUGCUACGGCAGUGAAGUCAUUGAUGCCAUGCUUCCAGGAAAAGCCUCUAAGCUUCAGAUAGUCAGGAAUCGUACCCCAAACCGACACAGGUGGUCGGGUAGAGAAUACCAAGGCGCUUGAGAGAACUCGGGUGAAGGAACUAGGCAAAAUGGUACCGUAACUUCGGGAGAAGGUACGCUCUUGAUGGUGAAGUCCCUCGCGGAUGGAGCUGACGAGAGUCGCAGAUACCAGGUGGCUGCAACUGUUUAUUAAAAACACAGCACUGUGCAAAAUCGCAAGAUGACGUAUACGGUGUGACGCCUGCCCGGUGCCGGAAGGUUAAUUGAUGGGGUUAGCGCAAGCGAAGCUCUUGAUCGAAGCCCCGGUAAACGGCGGCCGUAACUAUAACGGUCCUAAGGUAGCGAAAUUCCUUGUCGGGUAAGUUCCGACCUGCACGAAUGGCGUAAUGAUGGCCACGCUGUCUCCACCCGAGACUCAGUGAAAUUGAAAUCGCUGUGAAGAUGCAGUGUACCCGCGGCUAGACGGAAAGACCCCGUGAACCUUUACUACAGCUUGGCACUGAACAUUGAACCUACAUGUGUAGGAUAGGUGGGAGGCUAUGAAGACGUGACGCCAGUUGCGUUGGAGCCGUCCUUGAAAUACCACCCUUGUAUGUUUGAUGUUCUAACUUAGACCCAUUAUCUGGGUUGAGGACAGUGCCUGGUGGGUAGUUUGACUGGGGCGGUCUCCUCCCAAAGAGUAACGGAGGAGCACGAAGGUGGGCUAAUCACGGUUGGACAUCGUGAGGUUAGUGCAAUGGCAUAAGCCCGCUUAACUGCGAGAAUGACGGUUCGAGCAGGUGCGAAAGCAGGUCAUAGUGAUCCGGUGGUUCUGUAUGGAAGGGCCAUCGCUCAACGGAUAAAAGGUACUCCGGGGAUAACAGGCUGAUACCGCCCAAGAGUUCAUAUCGACGGCGGUGUUUGGCACCUCGAUGUCGGCUCAUCACAUCCUGGGGCUGAAGUCGGUCCCAAGGGUAUGGCUGUUCGCCAUUUAAAGUGGUACGCGAGCUGGGUUUAGAACGUCGUGAGACAGUUCGGUCCCUAUCUGCCGUGGGCGUUGGAAGAUUGAAGGGGGCUGCUCCUAGUACGAGAGGACCGGAGUGGACGAACCUCUGGUGUUCGGGUUGUGUCGCCAGACGCAUUGCCCGGUAGCUAAGUUCGGAAUUGAUAAGCGCUGAAAGCAUCUAAGCGCGAAGCGAGCCCUGAGAUGAGUCUUCCCUGAUACUUUAAGUAUCCUAAAGGGUUGUUCGAGACUAGAACGUUGAUAGGCAGGGUGUGUAAGCGUUGUGAGGCGUUGAGCUAACCUGUACUAAUUGCCCGUGAGGCUUAACCA